CAUCUCUGACACAUAUCCAUCCCACACUCGCCUCUCUCCAUAAGCCGGGCUCUGGCCAGUGCCGCGGUUUCUCUGGUGAGCCCCCUACAGCGAGGCAUCCCAUGCUCCUCUCUUCACCUCUCUUCACCUCUGCUCGUUGGCCCUCCCCUUCCUGCUCCCUAACGCCCCCGUGUGAUGGACCACGGGUCGGCGCUAGGAGGAGGAGGAAGCACGCUGGGGAUCUGCACCUGGUGGACGGGAACAGCUGCAACCAACCACGGUGGGGAGCUGCAACCGGUGGACAAAGGAGCUUCGAUGGGUGGGUGACCACGACCACGGGCAGGCAACGGGGUGGAUGCCCGUGCCCCGACAACUGCUACAAUAACCAUGGCGACCAGAUGUUCGAACCAGCGCCUAAUUGUGCUACUACAGACGUUUUGAUUUGAUGGAACGAUCGCCCAAUUUUCAGUUUUUUGCUACCACUGUAAUAUGUAUUUGCUGGAACCAUCAACAUUUUUUUGCUACCAUCGGUGUUUUGGUUUUGUUGGAAUCAUGCCCAAAUUUACUUUUUUUCCUACCACCAUGAUAUUUGUUUGCUGGAACCAUCAACAUUUUUUGCUACCGUCAUUUUAUUUGGUUUUGUUGGAACAGCACCAUUUUUUUGCAUUUUUGCUACCACCGGUCUUUUGAUUUGCUGGAACGAGCUUCUUUUUAC
rnacentral:rRNA from 1 species